rnacentral:rRNA from 1 species
GACGAACGCUGGCGGCGUGCCUAACACAUGCAAGUCAACUUGACUGAAGGAGCAAUCUGACAGUAGAGUGGCGCAAGGGUGCGUAACGCGUAAGUAACUUGCCCAAGGUAAGGAAUAACGUCGAGAAAUCGGCGCUAAUACCUCAUAAUGCAGCGGAUCCGCAUGGAUAUGUUGUUAAAGGUUUACCGCCUUGGGAUAGGCUUGCGUCUGAUUAGCUAGUUGGUGUGGUAACGGCACACCAAGGCUACGAUCAGUAACUGGUCUGAGAGGAUGAUCAGUCACACUGGAACUGAGACACGGUCCAGACUCCUACGGGAGGCAGCAGUGAGGAAUAUUGGGCGAAUAGCUCGAAAGAAGUGGACCCACGCAACGACCGCCGUGGAGGAGUGAAGGUAAGUUACUUAUUAUCGUAAACUACCUCGUGAGAGC